CAAAACUAGCGACUAUAUAUUGCUAUUACGCACAUGUGUCUCCAUGCACACACAGACACGCACCAUUCACAUGCGCACAAUUGGUAGACCUGGCGUCACAUGAAAUGGCUUCUCCAAUGCCAUGCUUGUAGGAGGUGGUGUGCCUUGCUUCUAAGACCCAGGGAUGGUUGAGAUGGUCCCUUCUAGGAGAAGCAGUUACAGGUCCCUUUGGUUAAGAGCAGCAAGAGACACAUGCAGAACUGCCAGAAGAUUCCGGCUGAUCUGAACUUGCUUUGGUUACCCUGCUCUGCUUAGGUCAGAUUUUUCCUGACUGCCAGAGUGUACAACACCAAGAGUGAACCUGAACCUGAACCACGGACUUUGGGUGAUCAUGAUGUGUCGAUGUAGGUAUAUCUAUUGUAAUGAAUGUACCACUCUGGUAGGGGAUGUAGAGAAUUAGAGAAGCUAUGCAUGGGGGGAGGGGCAGGAGACAUAUGAGAAAUCUCUGUACCUUCUUCUUAAUUUUGCUUUGAACCUAAGACUGCUCUAAAAAAAUUGAGUCUGCAAAACAAAAUCUUAGUAGCUUAAAACAAUCAUUUAUUACUGCUUACAACUCUCUGGGCCAGGUGGGUGGUUCUGCUGAUCUGAGCUAAGCCAGCUGAUCAUGCAUCUGCCAUCAACUGUGGGCUGGGAAUGGCUUUGCUGAUCUUGGCUGGGCUCUCACCUGCCUGGGGCCUGGCCCCCAUUCUGUGUUCUCUCAUUCUCCAGCUGUCUGUCCUGGGCUUUUCAUAGGGUGGUGGCAAGCUUCCAAUAGUGAGAGAGCAGGCUCAUAAGGCUUCUUG
rnacentral:lncRNA from 1 species